rnacentral:lncRNA from 1 species
CCCGUACCUCUCCAAUGAGCCCAGGAGCCGGCCUGUAAAUAGAAUUAAGUUGCAAGAAAUUACAACUUUAUGUCCACUUAGGUCCCGGGUGGGCCCCUGCACAGAAGCAAAUGUUUGCAGGCUCUCCUUGCUCUGUUCGGAGGCUCCUUCAGUUAAUCGCAGACCGUUAAGGUCCUGGGAAAACAGCUUGGACAGACUCACCUCCCACAGAAGGAUGCUGAGGUCCAGAGGGGGGAGGGGAGUUGCAGGUCCACCCUGUACCAUACGACUCCCAGCCCAGGACGAGCGGGGCCAGCACUUCCCAGACUGGAAGCAUAAAGCAAACAAGCCCAGCAGGGGCCAUAAAAAGGAAACCGACAAGGAGUAGGGGUGGCUGAAACC